rnacentral:rRNA from 1 species
AUUGAACGCUGGCGGCAUGCCUUACACAUGCAAGUCGAACGGCAGCAUAGGAGCUUGCUCCUGAUGGCGAGUGGCGAACGGGUGAGUAAUAUAUCGGAACGUGCCCUAGAGUGGGGGAUAACUAGUCGAAAGACUAGCUAAUACCGCAUACGAUCUACGGAUGAAAGUGGGGGAUCGCAAGACCUCAUGCUCCUGGAGCGGCCGAUAUCUGAUUAGCUAGUUGGUGGGGUAAAAGCUCACCAAGGCGACGAUCAGUAGCUGGUCUGAGAGGACGACCAGCCACACUGGGACUGAGACACGGCCCAGACUCCUACGGGAGGCAGCAGUGGGGAAUUUUGGACAAUGGGGGCAACCCUGAUCCAGCAAUGCCGCGUGAGUGAAGAAGGCCUUCGGGUUGUAAAGCUCUUUUGUCAGGGAAGAAACGGUUCUGGAUAAUACCUGGGACUAAUGACGGUACCUGAAGAAUAAGCACCGGCUAACUACGUGCCAGCAGCCGCCGUAA